ensembl:lncRNA
GGAGCAGAUGGGAAGGAUGAAAGGGCUCUACUUGACACUGGGCCUCUUGGCACUCACAACCUGCUUCUCAACAAGUACAACACAAGAGAGACGAAAUAGGCUGAAAAAUAGACUACAAAUGAAUCCAUCUGCACAAGCAUCAUCUUCACCUCAGCAAGUACUUUUCUUAAGGAAAAGAGGUAGAAUUCCCACUCAGCUAAAUCCAUCUGCACAACAAAGACUUGGAGGCUCUCGAGCCUAUUUAAAUCCCGCUGGUCCAAAGAGAUCUCCAAAGAUGAAAUCUAGUCAAACUUCUGCUGUACAGCAAAUUAGCCGAAAACCCUCAAAUUACCUGAAUUUUCCAGUUAAAACAAGAUCUAGAACUAUCAAAUUUGAUGUAAAUAAACCUGCCCAAAAGUUAAUUAAAAGUAAUAAACCUCUCAUGGAUACCUACACUCAUUUAAAAUUAGAUAAAUUCAAAAUUCCUUCAUAUCAAAAAAACAUGAAGCCCAAAACUAAGCUAAACUUAUUAAGUAAACCAAGAAUACCUAGCCAACCAAAAUCUCAGUCAAAAAUACCUGAACAAAAUCAAAAUAAACGCAAAAAAGAACAGCGUGUUAUAAAGAGAAAUCACCUAAGUGGGACUAAAAAUCACCAAAUUAGCCAACCAAAAGCUAGUCAAAAAUCUGCCCAUCAAAAAAGCCACCAACUCCAAAAUAACAUAAAUAUAACAGCUCACAAAAGAUCUAGCAAUACCAAAUCUCAUCUACUCAAAACUAAAAUAUUACCAAGGAAAUCUAAAUCUCUUUCCAGGGUAAAUAAUCAACAGAACUCAGAUUUGACUAAGUUACCCGCAACUUCAACUGGUAAAAAAUAUAGUCAACGUCAAACAAGGCCACAAAAAUUAGGUCCACAGAAAACAUCUGGUAAAUCAAAACUUCUAAAAUACAACAGAAGUAAAGGUAAGAAGGUAAAGCAGAAAACUGGUCCAAAUAAACCUGAUCCAACUGGACCCAGACAUGAUCAACCUGGUCAACCCAAGCCUGGUCAAAAAAAUUACAAACAAAAUGUCAACCAUCUCCCACAUCAAAUGAAUUCAACAGCUCCCCUCAAAAUUAACAAACCCAAAUCUCAGCAAGGAAAAAUGGUUAAAAAAUCUCCAAGAAAACCUAAGCCUCACUUUAUAACCAAAGUUGAGCAAAAUCCAAAAAAAUCUAAUUCUCCUGUAGUUUUAGUUGGUAAACGAAAUGGCCAGCACCAACCUAAACCACAAGCAAUAGGUUCACAUAAAAUAUAUACUCUAUCAAAGCUUCAUAAUAAUGCAAUCAAGAAACAACGAAUGAGUCCAACAAAGACUUCUGAACAAAAGAAAAUUAACCAAAGGAAGUAUCAUCUAAAUUCUACUAAAGAAUCUGGAAACUCGAAACCUGUUGCAAACAGAUCAAAAAGAACCAAAAAAGUGAAAAAACAAUCUGGCCAACAGAGACCAGUGUGUAGACAUUGUCCAUCAGGCCAAUCAAGACCUCUUCAAAUAUUUCCUAUACAACAAAAUAGCUACCAACUUUCAAAUCACAGGAACUCAUCAGCUCUUAAAAAACCUAGAAUUAUCAAAUAUCAGCCAGGCAAAAUUACUAAAAAGUUAUCAAGGAAACCUAAACCUUCCUGUGGGACAAAAUUUCAACAAAAGCCAAAAGUACCCAAACGACCUUCAAUUUCAAAUGGUCCAAGGAAAGGUCAUGGUCAAACCAAACCACAACCAUUAAGUCCCAAGAAAAUAUUCAGCCAAGCAAAACUCCAUAAAAAUCCAACCAUAAGGCAACAAAAGAGUCAAGUAAAAACUUGUCCAAAUAUUCCCAAACAUCAUCAGACUGGGCCCUUAGGGCAUCAUUUGAGUAAACCAAUAAGAAAACAAUCUGGCCAAAGAAAACCGAAGGCAAAAGCAACCAAGCAGAAGAAAAGCAGGAAGGCAAAGAAUCCACCCUAUUAUUCAAGACCUCCCCACCCAGUCCCUCAAUUUCAUCUCCCUGGUCAACCAAUACCUAGACCAAAGGUGCCCUAUCCUAACCCACUUUAUAUUCAUCUGUAUAAACCCAUCCAACACCCUGCCUCACACAUACAUUGUGGAAAGCAACUAGGUAAAAAGCACCAACUUCACCCACACAGAACUUGUCAAAAGCCAGCACUGAAACCUAAACCUGGAUUUCAGCAGCAGCAUCCAGGGAUACUUCCUACCACACAACCUGGAAAGUUGACAACAAAUCUCAAUCCAAAAAUUUCUAAAACUGUAUCCUCGGGACCAUUUUUAGUGACCACCAAAGCCUCUGCAGCCAUUUCAUCUGGAUCAACUAGCAGAAAGCCCACCACAAACUCACUGGCAUCUACCACCAAAUCUUCCUCAACUUCUAAUCCAACAACCACAGCCACAGAAUCCACUGUUUCCACCAAACCUGUGGUUAAUACUCCCAAAUCCUCCACAACUGCAAAGUCAGCAGUUCCUACCAACAAAUCUUCCAGCACUAAUAAACCUUCUACAACUAUCACUACACCUACUACCACAACCAAAGUUAUCUCCUCCACCAAAUCCAUCGUGAACUCUAUGCCUGCUGCCUUCACAAUCAAAUCCACGACAACUUUAAAACCUGUGAUUUUCACUACCAAAUUGACCACCUCUCCCAAGCCUGAAGCACCUACCACCAAACUUACUACCAUCAUUAACACUGUAGCUGACACCAGUACAUCUGCCACUGUAUUACUUAAACCAACUGAAAUUCCUAGUUUCUCUUCCACUGGCCCUACUACUAUAAAACCUGCCCAAAUGACCAAAUCCGUGGUGAAAACCACUGAAUCCCUUCCUACUACCACCAAAGUCAACAAACCUACCAGCUCAAUAUCCAUCACCAGAAGAACUCCUGCUUCUAAUUUCUCAACAAUUGUGGCAGAAACUACAUCUCCUCUCACAAAAUCAGUUUCUCCAUCUUUAUUAACCACCACUCCACCUGCUACUACCACUGUUUCACCUGCCAGUACAGCCACACUGUCCUCGGUCCCUGCUACAACUCUGGCAGGAAGCACUAGCACCUUAAGAGCUGCAAAUACUACAAAGAUGCCAGCCACAACCAUAGUUUCUCUCUCGACAGCAUCACCAAGACACACGUCUGCUGCCACCACAGCUGACCCUACUACAUCUGCUCCCAAAGCUACUUUGCCCCCUCUCACCACAAAGGGUGUUCCCAACAAAGUAGGUAUCUCUACCACAUCUGUUGCUUUAACCACUCCUGCUCCCUCUGCCCUUCCUUCUUCAGUUUCUUCUACCUCCAUCACCAAAUCAUCUCUCUCCCCCACGGCUGCUGCCACCAAUCCCACAUCCAUUGCUGAGGACACUACAGUUCCCGUGACCACAACACAGGUUUUCACCAGCACCCCUGCUGAUAUUACAUCUAUUUCUACAUCUACGGGUUUAGAAGUUGGUGACACUACCUCUGACACUACAGCCACAACGCCCAUGGAAACUACUGCUUCUCUUUCUAAAACCACGGAUGCUCAGUCCACCGCACCUGCUGCUCUAGGCACAACAAAAUACACAGUGAUCACCCCUGAAACAACCACGAAUCUUACUUCCACCACUACCACUAUUCCUGAUAUGUUGCAUUCGACUACCAGAACAGACGCUGCAGCUCCACUCACCGACACAACCCAGAUCACUGCAGAUGAGACAUCAACACCUUACUCUAGCACAUCUGAUGACACUACACUUGAUUAUCAGCCUGAGCCUCCUGACUUCACCUCUGCUGCUUCCUAUACAUCACCUGCCACCACACAGCCCUCCACCUCCAAAGACAUUCCCUUGGCUACACCUGCUGCCACUACAGCUGUUCCUACUGCUCUUCCUAAAACCACCUCUACUACUAACACAGAUCUUGUUACCACCCUGCCUGCUGCCUCAAAUAUUUCCACUCCUUCCAGCACCAUUCAAGCUGCCACCUCCAAAGCUGUACUUCCAACCACAGCCACUGCCACCUCUAUCUCUGGUGUCACUAGCCAAUCAGCUUCAUCGACCUCACUUGGAGCAGCAGCAUCCACAAGUAUCACCUCUACUACCACUAACGUGCCUCCUCUGACCACAGAGGCUCCUACCAUGGUUUCUUCCACAGUCACUCCUUCCUCUGCUGCUUCUGUCACCACACAAGCUGCCACACACGUGUCUGCUCCUCUUAGCACCACACACAGGGCCACAGGUAUAGCCCUCCUCCCCAUGUCCUCCACUGGACCCAGCACCUCCCUUGCCAACACAACCACUGCUAUUCUUGACACUUCCCCUCAGGUUGCCGCUAUCACUUCUCCAGCCCCCACUCCUGCUCCUUCCACUCCAGGUGCCUCCACUUCUGCUGCCACCAGCACUUUAUCAGCUUACUCCAUGUCUUCUAGCACUUGGCCAGCUUUCAUCACAUCUCCUGCCCUCAGUUCAUCAACAGCCACUGCGACCACUGCUGAAAUCACUACGGGUGCUAUUUCCACUACUUCAUCUGACUCCUCUGCUCCUCACUCUACUACCAUAGGAGACACCACAACCUCUCCUACUGACAUUGUACCAAGCACCCUGCUCACCACAGAUGAUACGACAACACUGAGCUCUGGCAUACUUGAUGACACCACUACCGACUAUGACCUUGACACUACCACUGCUGCCUCUGCCACCAUUCACCCUGCCACAACCUCUCCAGCUCCUUCUACCACCUCAGAGCCCAACACUACCACUAAUGAUCACUCCAGCUCACCUGCUGCCACAAACAUUUCUUUUCCCUCUUCCACUAUACAGUCUGUCGCUACUACUUCUGAUACCACCCCAGCUGCCACAGCCACAUUUGCUCCUGCAACAACCACUGCAUCUCUGACCACAACAGUAGCUGGGGUCACUAAUAAGCUGGCUUCUUCCACCACAGUUGGAACACCUCCAGCAACAUCCAUAAGUACCACAUCUGUGGCCACCAGCAUUCUGGCCGUGACCACAAAGGGUGCUGGCACCGAUGCUUCCACAUUGAUUUCCACCAAACCUACCUCUGCUCCCUUUACCACAUCAGCUUCCACCUCCACUUCCCCUGCCGCCUCCAGCACACCCCCUCCUAACACAACCACUCCUGUCUCAUCUACCACAGUCAGGACAUUAUCCUCUGCUGCCACCAGCACAUCAUUUACUACCAUGACAACUUCUCCUUCUCCCACCACUCAGGCUGACACCACCACUGCAGCCACCAUCACACCUGCCUCUACCACCCUCCCCACAGCCACCUCCACAUUGACUACCACUGAGCCCAUCACCUCCACUGUGGUCUCCUCAUCACCUACUACCAUCACUAGUGCUUCUGCUCUUCCCAGCACCUCACAAAGUGCCACUAACACAGCUCCUCCUACCAGCUCAACCACUGCAGCCACCAUCACACCUGCCUCUACCACCCUCCCGACAGCCACCUCCACGUUGACUACAACUGAGCCCGUCACCUCCACAAUGGUCUCCUCCCCACCUACUACCAUCACUAGUGCUUGGGCUCUUCCCAGCACCUCACAGAGUACCACUAACACAGCUCCUCCUACCAGCUCAUCCACUGCAGCCACUAGCACAGCUCCAGCCAGCUCAACUAUUUCUCCUCCCUUAACCACCACACAGUCUGUCUCUACCAGUUCCGCUGCCACAUCUGUCCCUACCACACCCACUACUACAACCUCCCCUGUCACAAAUGUUGCCACCUCCACCGUUGAAGUCAGUUCCUCAUCCGCUGCCACUAUGACACCUGCUACAGGCACACUUGCCCCUUCUACUUCCACACAGCCACCCACCAACACAGCCCUGCUCUCUAUCUCCUCUGCUAUGAGCUCCAUCCCUGCCACUACAAUCAAAUACUCCUCAACCACCACUCAGGCUGACACCACCACUGCAGCCACCAUCACACCUGCCUCUACCACCCUCCCCAUAGCCACCUCCACGUUGACUACCACUGAGCCCAUCACCUCCACAGUGGUCUCCUCCUCAUUACCUACUACCAUCAUUAGUACUUCUGCUCUUCCCAGCACCUCACAGAGGUGGGAAUCUUCGCCAACAUCUGUAAGCACUAUACACAUGGCCACUCACAGCACCAUGGUUACUACAGCCAAUCCUACCACAUUAGCCUCUACAACCACUCCAGCUACUUCUACAGGCACACAGGCUACCACUGCCAUGCCUGGUCUCACUACCAGGUCUGCUAUUAUUAGCACCAUACCUACCACCACAAUGACUUCAGUUCUCCUGACCACCAUGUCUAGCACUUCAACCACUCCUUUCUUUAGUGUCUCAUCAACACCCACCAUGCCUGUUGUCACUACAGCUGCAACCACAGCAGCACCCUACAUCACUUCAACUGAUGCAUCCAACACACCUGUUUCCACCAAAGAGAUCAUCUCUGACACCCCCAAGACUCCUUUGCUCACUACUACAUCUGAUUCUUCCACACUUGAUGAUACUGCCACUCCUGACACUGCAACUCCAACUAUUAUGACAAUCAGUACUGACAUCACAGAUGAUGACACUUCAACACUUACCCCUAGCACAUUUUAUGAAACUAUACCUGAUGGUGAUGAUGGCACUACUAAGAAUAACACAGACGAACCCACAUCAGAUGAUUUUACAGAAAGUCAGACUCAAACUGAAUCAUCAUUUACUGCCUGACUACCAUCGAGCACGAUUUACAUGGAUUGAAUUUCUGAACCAAAUUUAACCUGAGACAAAAAUCUUAGCCCUACUACUCUUUCAAACAUACUAAAUUUUCUUCUAACUAAAAUAAUGUUCAUUUCUAUUCUUAAUAUUUAAAGGAAGUUUAAAUAGCAUAAAUGUAUUUCAUUUCAGUGAAAUUUUCUAUUGCCUAUGAAAUUAAGACUUAGCUUUAAAUAGUACAAAUCAUGACUUUUUUCUCAAAUCUAUACCCAAAAGAAAGAUUUAAGGAAAUUAUACCUAAACAUUAAUGGUGUUUGUUUUGGCGGAUGAGAUCUAGAUACUUCAGGACUGAGACAGAAUGAAUAUUUGACCAAAGAAAUUCCUAUACAGAAAAAUCCUAUCCAACACCUCUCCCGAAACCUAUCCAAUUCUCCAUAUCACCCAAUGAAUUCUACAAAUCCAUUCUGGACUUUAUAGAUACCCACAAAUACACAAAUGUAAAUCUUUAAGAAAUAUAAACAAUUUUAAAGUAAUCAAACUGCAAGCAAGUCAAUUUAUAAAGAAAAGUUAAUAAGUAAUUACUUACCAGUUAUUAGUAUCACAAAGAGAUCCUAAGUUAAAAGAGUCUUUAUCUGGGGUGCCUGGCUGGCUCAGUCAGUUAGGUGUCUGCCUUUGGCUCAGGUCAUGAUCCUAAAGUCCCAGGAUGGAGCCCCUCAUCAGGCUUCCUGCUCAGUGGGGAGUCUGCUUCUCCCUCUGCCCCUCCCCCUGCUCAUGCUCGCGUGCUCUCUCUCUCUCGCUCUCUCUCUCUCUCUCUCAAAUAAAUUUUUUAAAAAGAGUCUUUAUCCGUGAAGG